GCUCCUGGUCUUCAGCUAUAUAAACGUCC
rnacentral:piRNA from 1 species